rnacentral:rRNA from 1 species
UACGUAGGGUGCAAGCGUUAAUCGGAAUUACUGGGCGUAAAGCGUGCGCAGGCGGUUUUGUAAGUCUGUCGUGAAAGCCCCGGGCUCAACCUGGGAAUUGCGAUGGAGACUGCAAGGCUUGAAUCUGGCAGAGGGGGGUAGAAUUCCACGUGUAGCAGUGAAAUGCGUAGAGAUCGGCAGGAACACCCAGGGGGAAACCAGCCGACUGGGCAUCUGCUGACGCUGAGGUGCGAGAGCGUGGGGAGCGAACCGG